GAUGAAGAACGUAGCGAAAUGCGAUACGUAGUGUGAAUUGCAGAAUUCAGUGAAUCAUCGAAUCUUUGAACGCACAUUGCACCUCUCGGUAUUCCGGGAGGUAUGCCUGUUCGAGCGUCAUUUGUACCUUCAAGCUCUGCUUGGUGUUGGGUGUUUUGUCUCGCCUCUGCGUGUAGACUCGCCUUAAAACAAUUGGCAGCCGGCGUAUUGAUUUCGGAGCGCAGUACAUCUCGCGCUUUGCACUCAUAACGGCGACGUCCAAAAGUACAUUUUUACACUCUUGACCUCGGAUCAGGUAGGGAUACCCGCUGAACUUAAGCAUAUCAAUAAGCGGAGGA
rnacentral:misc_RNA from 1 species